rnacentral:rRNA from 1 species
AUACGGAAGGUCCGGGCGUUAUCCGGAUUUAUUGGGUUUAAAGGGAGCGCAGGCGGAGAUGCAAGCGUGACGUCAAAUUUCGGGGCUCAACCCCGUCUCGCGUCGCGAACUGCGUCCCUUGGUUGCGGGAAGGGGAGGCGGAACUCGUGGUGUAGCGGUGAAAUGCAUAGAUAUCACGAAGAACUCCGAUCGCGAAGGCAGCCGUCCGACCCGUCAACGACGCUCAUGCUCGAAGGUGCGGGUAUCAAACAGGAUUAGAUACCCUGGUAGUCCGCACAGUAAACGAUGGACACCCGCGGUUUGGCCUGUAUGGCUGAGCCGCCAAGCGAAGGCGUUAAGUGUCCCACCUGGGGAGUACGCCGGCAACGGUGAAACUCAAAUGAAUUGACGGGG